GGCCGACAGGCGUAGUCGAUGGACAACGGGUUGAUAUUCCCGUACCGGCGCUGGUGCGCCAAUGCUGAAUCUCGCUGUACUAACCUCCCGCGGGUGGUGGCCUUCGGGUUGCUGCCGGUGGUUGGGAUCUUGGCGGGUAGUAGGCAA
rnacentral:rRNA from 5 species